rnacentral:rRNA from 1 species
UUGGUCAAUGGCCGAAAGGCUGCACCACUCACUUGGAAGAAUGUAAAUGUAUUUGUAUAAAUACAAUAGCGAUUAAUUCGCAUAAAAUUCUAAAUAGAUUAUUUAUAAUGACAGAAUCUAUUUAUAAGUCUUGACCAAACUACGUGCCAGCCGUCGCGGUAAUACGUAGGAGGCUAGUGUUAGUUAUCUUUAUUGGGUUUAAAGGGUAAGUAGACGGUGAUAAAAACUCCAAAAGAGUACUUUAUUGCUAGAGUUAUAUGUGAGAAGGAAGAAUACCUGGAGUAGAGAUAGAAUUUGUUGAUACCAGGGGGACUGUCAACGGCGAAGGCGUCCUUCUAAGUAAUAACUGACGUUGAGAGACGAAGGCUUGGGUAGCAAACAGGAUUAGAUACCCUAAUAGUCCAAGCAGACAAUGAUGAGUGCCAUACAUUAGAUAUAGUUUAAUGUAUAAAUGAAAGUGUAAGCAUUCCACCUCAAGAGUACUAUGGCAACAUAUAAACUGAAAUCAUUAGACCGUUUCUGAAACCAGUAGUGAAGUAU